AGAAAAAAAUGACGGUACCCGAAGGAAGGAAGCCCCGGCUAACUACGUGCCAGCAGCCGCGGUAAUACGUAGGGGGCAAGCGUUAUCCGGAAUUAUUGGGCGUAAAGAGUGCGUAGGUGGUCUACUAAGCGCGAGGUGAAAGGCUAUGGCUCAACCAUUGUUAGCCUUGUGAACUGGCAGACUUGAGUGCAAGAGAGGAAAGCGGAAUUCCUAGUGUAGCGGUGAAAUGCGCAGAUAUUAGGAGGAACACCGGCGGCGAAGGCGGCUUUCUGGAUUGUAACUGACACUGAGGCACGAAAGCGUGGGUAGCAAACAGGAUUAGAUACCCUGGUAGUCCACGCCGUAAACGAUGAGCACUAGGUGUCGGGACAUGAGUCUCGGUGCCGCAGUUAACGCAAUAAGUGCUCCGCCUGGGGAGUACGCACGCAAGUGUAAACUCAAAGGAAUUGACGGGGACCCGCACAGCAGCGGAGCAUGUGGUUUAUUCGAAGC
rnacentral:rRNA from 1 species